UCCAAGGGAGAUAGGAAGGCAGCAUUUUAAUGAGUCUAGAGAAAAUGAAUUCCAGGGUGAGCAGCUCUGCUCACGACCUCUUUUCAGUUGGUAUCCCAUAGGCCUCUGGGAAGCGGGGCACAUGAGGGAGGGGCCAGUGCCUGCCUCCACACUACCCCCUCUCCCCUAAUGAGGCUGGCAGCACCAUUUGCUAGCACCUGGCAGAUGAGAGAGAAAGAAAACCUGGUGUGGAGACCCCCAUCCAUUAAAGGCAAGAGAGUGAAAAGUGGGAGAGAAAGCUCCCAAGUUCAACAGCAGUGACCUAGGGUCAUGCAGUGAGGACUUACAAAGUCCAAGAAGAAAGCAUUUGGAGAAGUGCUACACAUGCUCAACUGAACUUCCUGUCAAAUUGUUCUCACUCGUUUGGGCACAAGUCUGCUUAAGCCAUCUCUCAUUAACAUUUACUCUUGCCCGAAGCCCUCUACGCCCCCAACCCCUGCUAAUCUUCCACAAGCAAGCUGAUCACACUGGGAUCUCCUUUUCCCAGACACGUUUGAUUCUCACUUUCUCCUGAACCUAGAAAUGUGCUUCCCACCAAAGCAUGCCAGGCACUAACUCGUCCCUACUGAAAGGGGCUGUUAAAAGCUCAUCUUCUUUCCAGAUGGUAGUGAGGUGUGAGGUGAUCCUUUCUCUUUCUUUUUUUUUUUUUUUUACUUUUAGCUACCCCUCAAUUCUGGUGUUCAGUAACAAUGUAUUCCACUUAAAAGAGAGAAAUCAUAUUAAUUAUUCUAAGAUAUAAACACUUAAUUUUAUUCAUGCUCUUGAAUUACUUUCCUUUCUACCGCAUGUUUGUGUAGCUGUUAUAUGAGUCCUUUCUACUGAUGUAGCUGUCAUUCCUUCAACUCAGUUCUUGCCAAACACUGAGCUAUGUCUGGAGAUACAAAGAUAACUACUCUUGUUGAAGAGAUGCCAGUUUAGUGGGGGAGACAGACAUGUAAACAGAUCUGUAUCUGAGAUAGAUGGCCUGGGUAGGAAAAGAAUAUAUAUAGCACAAAUAACUCAGUGGACCUGCAAAAACAGAGCUUGAGGCCAUGAUAUACCACAAAGACCCACCAAGGCACAAGCACUGUCAACAUGAAGGCACAGUGUUUAGUAUAUUGUGGGUGCUCCGUAAACAUUUUACUCAAUGGAUAAAUGAAAUGACGAUGAAAUCCUUG
rnacentral:lncRNA from 1 species